rnacentral:lncRNA from 1 species
GGGGGGGGGUCCCUGCUGCCCUGCCGGGCCGCCCCGGGCGGGAGCAGCCCCCCAGGCCUGCAUUAACCUCCGCCCGUCUCCGGCUGCUCUGUCAAGUCCCCCAGAGGACCUCUCCCACAGGCCCCAAGAGCAUGCAGAACCCGGCCCGCGUGAGCAACGUCCCCAGCAACAUCAUCCGGAAAAACUCCCCCGCGGCCCGCAACGGGGGCACCGAAGCCGACGCGCAGAUCCUGGAGCUCAACCAGCAGGUAGGGAGGGCGCUUUGCCCGCGGCACCCGCGGGGCGGCCGGAGCAGGGCGAGGAGAGGCGCGGAGCCCUCGGAGCGGGGCGGACCAGCCCUGUCCCAGCCUCGGUGCGAACGGUCUCGCCCGCCCGCAGCUGAUGGAUCUGAAGCUGACGGUGGACGGGCUAGAGAAGGAGCGGGAUUUCUACUUCAGCAAAUUGCGGGACAUCGAGCUGAUCUGCCAGGAGCACGAGAACGAGAACAGCCCCAUCAUCACGGGCAUCAUCAGCGUCCUCUACGCCACAGAGGAGGGCUUCGCCCCGCCCGAGGACGACGAGAUCGAGGAGCAGCAGCCAGAGGACCAGGACGAGUACUAGCCCCGGCACGCUCCUCCGCCCCGCGACGAGCCGCCCCGCGUCGUCCCCCGACCAUAGACAUUCGAGGUUUUGAGUUUGUACGCCUCGCCCUGCACUAUCACACAUUAUAACAGUGUCCAACCAGCCAGGCAGCCGGGCCAGUGGUCUCCGUGGUCAGCAGAUCCCGUGGGAAGCCACUGGCUGCAUAAUAAAUAUAUAUAAAUACAUAGAGGAGAACA